UCGGUGUAUUUCUCUCUGAGGUUUCAGGAAAUAGCAGGAGCUCUAGAUUCUGUGCUUACAACAUCCAGCCUCCUCCCUGUUCAAAAUUCAGACCCUGGUGAAGCAAACUAUCAAAAUUUAACACUAAAACAAAGUGUCACUCUAUUGGAGAGUUUGAGGUCGUGCUGGAGGGAAGACGUUUUUUGCUUUCUUGUUCUGACAAGUUCCUUCGCUUAUCAUUGCAACUUCUUGCUAGAUACACUAAUUGGUUGUCAAGUGGGCUGAUUGCUCGUAAGACUGGGAACAUAAGCACCAGCCCAGGGUCUGAAUGGGCUAUUUCAGCUGUUGCAGAUGACUUUAUUUUUGUAUGCAUCACACCUUGACUGUAGCGUA